UACGGAGGGUGCUAGCGUCAUCCGGAAUCACUGGGCGUAAAGGGCGCGUAGGCGGUUUGUUAAGUCCGAUGUUAAAGACUGGGGCUCAACCCCAACACUGCGUUGGAUACUGGCAGACUGGACGGUUGGAGAGGCGAGUGGAAUUACCAGUGUAGCGGUGGAAUGCGUAGAUACUGGUAGGAACACCCAUUGCGAAGGCAGCUCGCUGGACAACACGUGACGCUGAGGCGCGAAAGUGUGGGGAGCAAACCGG
rnacentral:rRNA from 1 species